rnacentral:misc_RNA from 1 species
ACGGACGAUGGCGAUUACAACAUCAAGCUGCGUAACCUGAUCAGUUUUCUUGAAGAAGGUGAUAAAGCCAAGAUCACGUUGCGGUUUCGCGGACGUGAAAUGGCACAUCAGGAAUUUGGUGUGCGUCUGCUUGAACGCGUCAGAGAUGAUCUGGAGCCGCAUGCGGUGGUUGAGCAGUUUCCCCGGAUGGAAGGACGGCAAAUGGUGAUGGUGCUAUCUCCGCGAAAGAAAGAAGUAGCAGUCAAACCAAAGGAAGCGAAGUCGAAGGGGGUUACGGAAACUGAUGUAGCCCGUGAUUAAGGACGUAAACUCACCUGACCAUCGCGCAGA